rnacentral:rRNA from 1 species
AGUGAACGCUGGCGGUAUGCCUAACACAUGCAAGUCGAACGGCCGCACAGUAAGCUUUUGCUCUUACGGUUGGCGAGUGGCGGACGGGUGACGCAUACAUCGCCUUCUUCUUUUUCUUGGGUGAUUACGUAGGGAAACUUCUGCUACUACCUCAUACUUCCUACCGGUUAAAUCAGGGGUUCUUCGCACUUUUCCCGUCUCUAUUAGCUGAUGUCGGAUUAGCUAGUUGGCUGGGUAAAGUCCCACCAAGGCGACGAUGCGUAGCUGGUCUGAGAGGAUGAUCAGCCACACUGGAACUGAGACACGGUCCAGACUCCUACGGGAGGCAGCAGUGGGGAAUAUUGGACAAUGGGCGCAAGCCUGAUCCAGCCAUACCGCGUGAGUGAAGAAGGCCUUCGGGUUGUAAAGCCCUGUUGUUGGGAAAGAAAAGCAGCAGGUGAAUACCCGGAUGUUCUGACGGUACCCAAAGAAUAAGCACCGGCUAACUUCGUG